GCCCGGGUGAUGGAAUAGGUAGACAUAGGAGACUUAAAAUCUCCCGCCUUAUGGCGUGCCGGUUCGAGUCCGGCUUCGGGCACCA
rnacentral:tRNA from 1 species